rnacentral:rRNA from 1 species
AGCGAACGCUGGCGGCAGGCUUAACACAUGCAAGUCGAACGGGCACUUCGGUGCUAGUGGCAGACGGGUGAGUAACACGUGGGAACGUACCUUUCGGUUCGGAAUAAUCCAGGGAAACUUGGACUAAUACCGGAUACGCCCUUCGGGGGAAAGAUUUAUCGCCGAUAGAUCGGCCCGCGUCUGAUUAGCUAGUUGGUGAGGUAAUGGCUCACCAAGGCGACGAUCAGUAGCUGGUCUGAGAGGAUGAUCAGCCACAUUGGGACUGAGACACGGCCCAAACUCCUACGGGAGGCAGCAGUGGGGAAUAUUGGACAAUGGGCGCAAGCCUGAUCCAGCCAUGCCGCGCGAGUGAUGAAGGCCUUAGGGUUGUAAAGCUCUUUUGUCCGGGAAGAUAAUGACUGUACCGGAAGAAUAAGCCCCGGCUAACUUCGUGCCAGCAGCCGCAGUAAGAC